AGCCUAAGGUGUGUCAGUUCUAGUCAGGCAUUAGAUCAGGAGAAACAGGUUCAGACUCCACUCAACAAAAACAAAACAAAGACCAUAAUCUGGAUCAUGAUAAAACAGCCUGGCCAGUGCUGCAGGAAAAUUCCUCUUCAACCGCAGAACCAACCAGGAAACAACAGCAGCCUGCAGCCACAAUAAGCAACAUCAGCGAUCAAACCGGAAUCACAGGAACUCCAUUGAAGAACAGGUUUGCUGCACUUCAACGGGAAUCUACAAGGAAGAAUUCAACUUCAAACAUCAACAAAAGACUUACUGAGGUCCAGAAGAUGGAAGAUUUGGACCUAAAGGAGGACAGAGCAGAACCUCCAGGAUCCGUCUGUCCCUCUAUGAAGAGUGACCGGUCCAGAAAAGAUCCUCCAGUCUUCAGUACUGAACCAGAACCAUCAGACCCAGAAGGGAGGAAGAGGAGCAGCGUUGGUGAGGAGGAGCAGCCGUCCUGCUGUGCUUUAUGUCAGAAGGUUCUGAUGGAUCCAGUCUCUACCAGCUGUGGUCACUGGUUCUGCAGACAGUGCAUCAGGUUCUACUGGGACCAGUCUGGACCCUCCUCCUGCCCCCAGUGUGGAGAAAGACCCAGAACAGGAGCUGGACUGCUGACAGCCAAUCAGAGCAGCUGUGCUCCAGCAUAUGUUGUUCUGCAGCAGGUUCUAGAGGAUCAUAAGAUCAGUCUGAAGCAGAGAUGUGAAUGCGUGGCUGAAGGAAGUGAUGAAACAGGAAGUAAAACCCUCCUCAACAGGAUCUACACUGAUCUCUACAUCACAGAGGGACAGAGUGAAGAGGUUAAUACCCUACAUGAGGUGAAGCAGCUGGAGACAGCUUCCAAGAUCCAGAACCUCCAUGACUCUUCAAUCAGGUGCCAUGACAUCUUUAAAACCUUCCCUGAUCACCAUGGAACCAUCAGAGUGGUUCUGACUAACGGCGUUGCUGGUGUUGGAAAAACCUUCUCAGUUCAGAAGUUCACUCUGGACUGGGCAGAGGGCUUGGAGAACCAAGAUGUCAGUGUGGUGGUUCUGCUUUCGUUCAGGGAGCUGAACUUGAUCAGAGAUGAGCAGCACAGUCUUCUCACGCUGCUCCAUGUUUUCCAUCCAACCCUCCAGAAGCUCCCAGCAGAGCAACUGGCUGUCUGCAAACUCCUCUUCAUCUUUGAUGGCCUGGAUGAAAGCAGACUUUCACUGGACUUCAACAACAGUCAGCUGGUUUCUGACGUCACACAGAAGUCAUCAGUCAACGUUCUGCUGACAAACCUCAUCAAGGGGAACCUGCUUCCCUCGGCUCUCAUCUGGAUAACUUCCAGACCUGCAGCAGCCAAUCAGAUCCCUCCUUCAUUUGUUGCCAGGGUAACAGAAGUACGAGGCUUCACCGAUGCCCAGAAGGAGGAGUACUUCAGGAAGAGGUUCAGUGAUGAAGAGCUGUCCAGCAGAAUCAUCUCUCAUAUCAAGGCCUCCAGGAGCCUCCACAUCAUGUGUGGAAUCCCAGUCUUCUGCUGGAUCACUGCUACAGUUUUGGAGAACAUGUUGACCUCAGAGCAGAGAGGAGAGCUGCCCAAGACCAUGACUGACAUGUACUCACACUUCCUACUGGUCCAGACAAAGAGGAAAAAGAACAAGUACCAUGGAGGACAUGAGACAAGUCCACAGGAGCUGAUGGAGGCUGACAGGGAAGUUCUUCUUAAGCUGGGGAGGCUGGCGUUUGAACAUCUGGAGAAAGGAAACAUCAUGUUCUACCAAGAAGACAUGGAGCAGUGUGGUCUGGAUGUCACAGAGGCCUCAGUGUACUCAGGAGUUUGUACAGAGAUAUUCAAAAGAGAGAGUGUGAUCUUCCAGAAACCAGUCUACUGCUUUGUUCACUUGAGCAUCCAGGAGUUUCUUGCUGCCAUCUACAUGUUCCACUGUUUUACCACAAGGAAUACAGAGGUACUGAAGAAGUUCUUGAAGAAACACAUUACCAAUUUGAAAAUAAAGGUGAAAAAGAACUUGCUGCAGAAAGAAAACUGUGAAACACGUCUACAGCACUUCAUGAAAAAAGUAAUGACGAAAUCUCUCAACAGCAAAAAUGGCCACCUGGACCUGUUUGUUCGUUUCCUUCAUGGCCUUUGUGUGGGAUCCAACCAGAGAAUGUUAGGAGGCCUGCUGGGUCAGACAGAGAACAGUCCAGAAACCAUCCAGAGAAUCAUCAACAACCUGAAAGAGAUUAAGACUGAUAAAAUCUCUCCUGAAAGAUGCAUCAACAUCUUCCACUGUCUGAUGGAGAUGAAAGAUCUCUCAGUUUAUUCGGCGAUCCAGCAGUUCCUGAAAUCAGAGAACAAAUCAAAGAAGAAGCUUUCAGAGACUGAAUGUUCAGCUUUGGCCUACAUGCUGCAGAUGUCCGAGGAGGUUCUGGAUGAAUUUGACCUGAAGAAAUACAACACAACAGAGAAUGGGCGACUGAGACUGAUUCCAGCUUUGGGAAACUGCAAAAAGGCUCGAUUGAGGGACUGUGGUUUGUCAGAGUUUGGCUGUGGUUUUCUGGUCUCAUCUCUGAAAUCCAACUCUAACUCUUCACAUUUGAUAGAACUUGACUUGAGUUACAACAAAGACCUGAAAGAUGCAGGAGUGAAGAAAGUCUGUGGUUUUCUUCAAACUCCCUUCUGUAAGCUACAGAGAUUGAAAUUGAUGAGCUGCAGUUUGUCAGAGAUCAGCUGUUCUUCUCUGGUCUCAGCUCUGAAGUCCAACCCGUCCCAUCUGACAGAACUGGACCUGAGACAGAACAACCUGAAAGAUGAUGGAGUGAAGGAGCUCUGUUGUUUUCUACAGAAUCCAGAAUGCAAACUACAGAUGCUGAAACUAGAGAGCUGCAAAUUGUCUAAAAGUAGUUGUGCUUCUUUGGCCUCUGCUUUGAAAUCCAACCCCUCCCAUCUGACUGAACUUGACCUAAGAGGAAACAACCUGAAGGAGCCAGAUGUUCAGCAGCUUCAGGAUCUUGUAAAGACUCUAAGGUGGAGGACACCAUCUUUGUAAAGUAGAGAAUUGUUUCUGUUUUCCUGCUGAUCCUCAGAAGCUGCAGCAGUUUGAGUCUAAAAAGACUCUGACUGGAUCAUGAUGACCUUUGACCUGAAUGAUUUCCAUCCUGUUUAUUUCCUCCUGUCUGUCAUUUAAUGUCUGAUAUUGUUGGGUUUUUUGAUCAAUGAAGAUGAAAUUGAAACUCAACUGCAUUUAGAGACUUUUUAAUUUUUUUAUCUGAACUUUAUUCAACUGGAAAGUUUUGUUUUUCUCACUGGUUAAUUUUUAUCCUGUAACCAAGAAACAUGAAAUAAAGCUCAAAUGAAAAUUUUCCAUGUUGAUGCAGAUUUUGAAUGGUCUUUUUCUCAUAUUUUAGAUGUUUUCUGCAAAUGUUUCAUAAGAUAUUGUCAUUUUAUCUGAUGCUGCAAACACCUCAGUGAGUCAGAUGAUAAAAUCUUUUCAUUUGGAGGAUUUUCCCUGUUUUUCCUGCAGAACGGUUCUGUUGGAUCGAUGGCUCAUCGUUAAACUUUGCUCUGCUAAGGUCAGCUGUCUUCAUGAAGUUAGUUUCCUUCUUUCCAAGACUAAAACUGAAAUGUUCAAUUAGUGAAUCAACAUCUUCAUCUGAUAUUCAAGCUGCAGCUUGAAUCCAUGUCUGGAUUUGAUGGGAAUCCAGACAUGUUCAAAUUUAAUAUUCAGAUUCAUUUUAGACCAUUAAAAGAUUCAUAAAUUAGUUGUUUUUUUUCUUAUUUUCUUCUCAGUUAAAUUUCAUCAAUAUUUUGAGGCAUCCCAUUGAUUCUCACUCUGCUCAGAAAAAGCUGUAUUUUUAAUAUUUAAUCAUUUUUGUUGAUUUGUCCAUUUUUAAUAUGAACAAUAUUUUGUCUGGAAUUUAUCUGAGGAGUUUGGCAGAGCAAACUAUAGGGUGACCUCAGUGUUCAAUUAAAUGUUCAUUAGGUUUAAUAUAGCAUCAUCUGGUGAUGCAGGUUCCUAACUGAGUGGGCAAAGUCUGAUUUUCAGAGUAUUUCUGGGCUUUUACAAUGAAAGAGGCCAACCUGAAAGGAGAUGAAGCUGAAGAUUGACUCAGAUCUGUUUUCUUUCUCCACUCACAUAGAAGACCUGGGAAACUCUCUGUGGGGUAAAAACAGCUGCACACAUCUGUCUGUUCAUCCAGCAGUUCAGCUCAGAUCUCCAGGAGAGGUCUGUGAUCUCCUCCAGAUGAAAGUAGAGACCUCGGAUGGUUCUAAAGGGAAAUAUUUGGAUCUGAACUUCUGCCUGGUUUCUUCUUAAAGUCAUGAUAUUUCUGUCAAACAUCAACAUGACAGAUGAUGAUCAACAAAUCCUGGUUGGAUUCUUUGUGUCCAGGUGGAGGUGGUUCUCCUGCUGUAUUCAGGUUUCAUUCAGAACCAGAGAUGCUUCAGUUCAGAAAUUGGAUCAGGCGAUGUCCCCAUCUCAGAGCAGAAACCCGGAGGUCAAGGCCAAGAUCACAGCAGACACCAGGAAACUGCAGCAGGUCUUAAAGAGACAGCAGAUCAAUACCACUAAGGCCCUAUGCAGUGACUCCUCUCCCAGUUUGUGUUUCUCUGACGGAGACAUGUCCAGUCCAUAAUGUCCCCAUCCUGCCAUGAGCUCUGAUGUUUCUGUUGCUGCACAGGAAAAUCUUCAUGGUUCCAUCUGAGAAGGCUGGCUUCCUGACUCCUUUAUAGCAGUUAGGAUUUUAAAUAUCAAGGCUCCUCAAUAUCUUAUAUUUUCUACAAUUUUUACUUAAUUUUAUUUUUAUUAAAGAAUAAACAUAAUCAAAAACACAUAAAAACUGUACAGGAUCCAGAAGGAUGAGAUGAAUAAACUAAUAUGAAUAUCAGCCAUCAUUAGAUUCUGUCUGUAACUCCUGAGCCCUGAAACUACCUUGGUUUUGUGUAACUCUUGCACAUUGAUGUAGUGUGUUUCUAGAACAAAGUCUAGAAAGUAGAAGUCUUUGGUUUAGGAGUUUGUUUUGCAGUUUAAGGUGUGAGUAAUCAGAAUGUAUACCAGAUCUGACUGAAUCUUUGUGUGCAUUUUUAGCUUUUGCUUUUUAUUAAAGCUUGGUUUAUUAAA